rnacentral:rRNA from 1 species
UAUAUUCGGUUCAAGCAAGUAGGGGUCAUUCAUACGAUCAAAAGGUGAGUGAGUUAUCCUCGAGAUGUGAUGAGAGUCUACGGCUUCGGACACGGACGAACUCGUCGAUGCCAAGCUUCCGAGAAAAGCCGCGGGUGGAGCUUUGUUGUAUCCGUACCGGAAACCGACACUGGUGGGUGGGUGGAGAACACCAAGGCGCUUGAGAGAACUCUGGUGAAGGAACUCUGCAUAUUGCCACCGUAACUUCGGGAUAAGGUGGGCCUGAUUUCGUGAAGCGUCUUGCACGUGGAGCGGAACCGGGUCGCAGCAAAGCGGGGGUAGCGUCUGUUUACCAAAAACACAGGCAUUUGCUAAGUCGAAAGACGACGUAUAAGUGCUGACUCCUGCCCGGUGCCGGAAGGUUAAGGGGACUGCUCAGCGCAAGCGAAGGCAUGAACCGAAGCCCCGGUAAACGGCGGCCGUAACGAUAACGGUCCUAAGGUAGCGAAAUUCCUUGGCGGGUAAGUUCCGUCCUACACGAAUGGAGUAACGACUUCCCCACUGUCUCCACCAGAGACUCAGCGAAAUUGAACUCGCGGUGAAGAUACCGCGUUCCCGCGGAGGGACGGAAAGACCCCAUGAACCUUCACUGCAACUUGGCCCUGACACUCGGGAUUUAUUGCGUAGGAUAGGUGGGAGGCUUUGAACCUGGGUUUCUGGAUCCGGGGGAGCCAACCUUGAGAUACCACCCUGUAAAUUCUGGGUGUCUAACCUAGACCCAUUAUCUGGGUCAGGAACACGGUCUGGUGGGCAGUUUGAUUGGGGCGGUCGCCUCCCAAAAAGUAACGGAGGCGCGCGAAGGUCCCCUCAGCCUGAUUGGAAACCAGGCGUAGAGUGCAAUGGCAUAAGGGGGCUUGACUGCGAGACCGACAGGUCGAGCAGGUACGAAAGUAGGUCAUAGUGAUCCGGUGGUUCUGCAUGGAAGGGCCAUCGUUCAACGGAUAAAAGGUACUCUGGGGAUAACAGGCUUAUCUCCCCCAAGAGCUCACAUCGACGGGGAGGUUUGGCACCUCGAUGUCGGCUCAUCGCACCCUGGGGCUGAAGUCGGUCCCAAGGGUUCGGCUGUUCGCCGAUUAAAGCGGUACGCGAGCUGGGUUCAGAACGUCGUGAGACAGUUCGGUCCCUAUCCUCCGUGGGCGCAGGAGACUUGAAGAGGAGCUUUUCUUAGUACGAGAGGACCGGAAAGGACGCACCUCUGGUGAUCCAGUUGUUCUGCCAAGAGCAUUGCUGGGUAGCUAAGUGCGGACAGGAUAACCGCUGAAAGCAUCUAAGCGGGAAGCCCCCCUCAAGAUAAGGUCUCCCGGGAGCAAUCCCCUAAAGGGCAGUCAAAGACCAUGACGUUGAUAGGCUGGGUGUGUAAAGGCUGCAAGGCCAAAGCUAACCAGUACUAAUCGCCCGUGCGGCUUGACC